rnacentral:rRNA from 1 species
CUCGCGAUCUAGAACUGCACGCGAGUCAAUGGGUCCACCGAAACCCAAAGGCGCAGUGAAAGUAAAGUCUCGACUUGUUCUCGGGAUGUGGUGAGAUGCCACUGUUUUUCUCGCACCUCCCCUUGGCGCGCGCAGCUUGCUGUGUGUGUGUUUGUGGGUCUGCAGCACCAGGCAAAAGAGCAGUGGCCGCAUCACCGGCCCGUCCCAUGAUGUGGUCGUUGGAAAGGCGUGGAUCGUUUUGUGUGGUCUGCGUUGGAACCGGCGCGUCAUCGGGGCGGAGCAAGAGCGUGCACGAUAAGACCCGAAAGAUGGUGAACUAUGCCUGCGUAGGUUGAAGCCAGAGGAAACUCUGGUGGAGGACCGCAGCGAUUCUGACGUGCAAAUCGAUCGUCAAACGCGAGUAUAGGGGCGAAAGACUAAUCGAACCAUCUAGUGGCUGGUUCCCUCCGAAGUUUCCCUCAGGAUGGCUGGCACUCAUUCGCAUGAUCAGUUUUAUCCGGUAAAGCGAAUGAUUAGAGGUACUGGGUUCGAAACGAGCUCAACCUAUUCUCAAACUUUAAAUGGGUGAGAUGCCCGGCUCGCUUUAUAGGAGUCGGGCGCUGAAUGUGCGAGUGCCAAGUGGGCCAUUUUUGGUAAGCAGAACUGGCGCUGUGGGAUGAACCAAACGCUCGGGUUAGGGGUGCACUGAG